rnacentral:tRNA from 1 species
GUCGGAGUGGCGGAACUGGCAGACGCGCUAGGUUGAGGGCCUAGUGGGCUUUACGGCCCGUGGAGGUUCAAGUCCUCUCUCCGACACCA